AUUGAACGCUGGCGGCAGGCUUAACACAUGCAAGUCGAGCGGAGAGAGGUAGCUUGCUACUGAUCUUAGCGGCGGACGGGUGAGUAAUGCUUAGGAAUCUGCCUAUUAGUGGGGGACAACAUUUCGAAAGGAAUGCUAAUACCGCAUACGUCCUACGGGAGAAAGCAGGGGAUCUUCGGACCUUGCGCUAAUAGAUGAGCCUAAGUCGGAUUAGCUAGUUGGUGGGGGAAAGGCCUAACAAGGCGACGAUCUGUAGCGGGUCUGAGAGGAUGAUCCGCCACACUGUGACUGAGACACGGCCCAGACUGCUACGGGAGGCAGCAGUGGGGAAUAUUGGACAAUGGGCGGAAGCCUGAUCCAGCCAUGCCGCGUGUGUGAAGAAGGCCUUAUGGUUGUAAAGCACUUUAAGCGAGGAGGAGGCUACUUUAGUUAAUACCUAGAGAUAGUGGACGUUACUCGCAGAAUAAGCACCGGCUAACUCUGUGCCAGCCGCCGCAGUAAUAC
rnacentral:rRNA from 1 species